UACGGAGGGGGCUAGCGUUGUUCGGAAUUACUGGGCGUAAAGCGCGCGUAGGCGGACCUGCAAGUCGGGGGUGAAAGCCCGAGGCUCAACCUCGGAACUGCCCUCGAUACUGCGGGUCUCGAGUCCGGGAGAGGUGAGUGGAAUUCCUAGUGUAGAGGUGAAAUUCGUAGAUAUUAGGAAGAACACCAGUGGCGAAGGCGGCUCACUGGCCCGGUACUGACGCUGAGGCGCGAAAGCGUGGGGAGCAAACAGG
rnacentral:rRNA from 1 species